UACAGAGGUCUCAAGCGUUGUUCGGAUCCACUGGGCGUAAAGCGCACGUAGGCGGCUUUUUAAGUCAGGGGUGAAAUCCUGGAGCUCAACUCCAGAACUGCCUUUGAUACUGAGAAGCUUGAGUCCGGGAGAGGUGAGUGGAACUGCGAGUGUAGAGGUGAAAUUCGUAGAUAUUCGCAAGAACACCAGUGGCGAAGGCGGCUCACUGGCCCGGUACUGACGCUGAGGUGCGAAAGCGUGGGGAGCAAACAGG
rnacentral:rRNA from 1 species